UUUUUAUACAUUAUCUUUAAAUAGUAUCAGUUAAGCCCAUCUAUGAAAGACAGGGCUAUCUACAUGUUUCCUUGCCAAUCUUUUCACUGUCUCCCCCUCAUUGUCCUUGUCUAUUACAUUUUUAUUUUUAUAUUAUAAUAGCUUAUGGUAUGUACUUCAAGUGUCGGAAUAUUAGUUCUAGUAUUAAAUGAAUUCAGUGUUUACUACUAAGCUUUUAAUUUUGUUUCCUUCUUUAAUUUAUAGGCUGGUGAAGCUGAUUCUAUGUUAAUUUUUUACAUUUAUGACAGAGUUAUGAGAAUUAUGUCCUCUGGCACAGAAAGAAGGCAACUGUCUGCAAACCAAGAAAAGAGCCCUCGACACACACAGAAUCUUCUAGCAUCAUGAUCUUGGACUUCCCAGCCUCCAGAACUGUGAAAAAUAAGUGGUAAGUGUGUAUUGGUAAGUGACCCAGUCUGUGAUAUUUUGUUAUAGCAGUUUGAACAGAGUAAUACAUCCAUCAUUGAUUUUUGCCCCAUUUCAGAUAUCAACACGUAAGAAAAGUCAAAUAACGUAAUAAUUGUUUUGAAAAUCGUUUUAUCCUUUACAUCCACUGAAAGCAUCCGAGAGAGUUUUGGGAGUCCAGAAUUUACUCACGAAUGAGUACAUGUGUAUAAUGGGAAGAAAAACAAAAUAGUUAAUUGUGUUUUCUAAGUUAUCCAAUCAAGCAAAUGUAACACUCACAUGUGUUCACUGUAUAUUUGGUGAUAUUCUGAAGAGGUGAUUUAAAAAUUAGUGUCCAUAAAUUAAAGAGUGAUGUAUAGUAUUUCACAUUUCCAAGUGUAGGGAGAAAAAAGCCAGUUUUUACUCAAUGCAGUAUAGUUAUCAUCAUUAAAAUUGAAAGGCUGUUUUUGCCAAUGAAAUAUUUCUUUGCACUUACUGAAAUUCACAUUUAUUUUUACUCAGUGCCAUGAAGGUUGGAGUUGAAAUAUAUCUUUCCUUUGUACCUAAAACAUAAUGAAAAAUGUGACAUUAUAAGAAAAAAGUGAAUAAUGAUAGCCACUCCUAACAGCUUGAUCCAAUAAUUUACUUAUCGAUGGCAGCAUAGUCACCAUAACCUGCUGACUGUUUCUAAAGUGUCAGGAGAUGCUGUCAGGGGAAAUAUGUUGUCCAACACACAUAAAGAUGAUGCCACUGAUCCAUUGUGUCAGUUAUUCAGUGUUGGUGAUGGAUUUACUCUUGUCUCCAUUGAGAUACUUUUUUCUACUUACCCUCCUUCUACCCUUUUGACCACUGAAACUAAUUUUUUAAAGAAGCUGUGAGGAUGGAAAGAGCAGUAUGCGGAAAUGACUACAGAUGUCCUACUAUAAGAAGACUGGGCUUCUUGCUUUUCUUCACUUUUUUUUCCAUUGUUUGCAGACUGUGUAAGAAGAAUUUACCCAAAACUGACACAUCCUUUGCCAAGUACCAUAAUUUUGCAUGUCCAUUUAUUUAUCAAUGUGUCUUAUUCUCUGUAUAAAACUAGAUAAAUAUAAAUAUAGUCAUAGGGUGGAUAGGUAACACAUCAAUGUUGUGUUAAUGAAUAAAUGACAAACUGUUUUAAGGACCAGUUAAGUGAAGCAGCUGUUAGGGAAGAAGAAUAAAACAGCUUCUAUGGAAUUUACAUGAGAAUAGUAUUACAGAAUUGUUUGUCCCCUUGCCUGAUUAAGAAUAUUUAGGGGGUUUUGAUUGAAGCAGAAAAGAAUAAAGGGAUAUACCCAUCUUGGUUAAACAGUUAAGUAAACCCUAACACCUUAUGAGAGUUUGAAUAAAAUAAUGGUUAUAAUAAGUAUCAAAUACUAGAAUAAUUGAAUAUUUUAAUUGAUCAACAUAUAGCACACAUCCAAACUUAUAAAAGGAGGAAUAAACCUCAUGGAUUAGGUAAUCCAAAAUAACAGCACUAAGGUUCAGACAAGGAAAAAAAACAUGUAUCAAGAAUAGCCAGGUAACUGGUGUUACAUCUAGAUAUUUCCUAUAUCUAAUAAUAUUAUUGAAAGAGAAUGAUGGUAGAGUGUGUCUAGUUAAGAUACUCAUGGAGAAAAAAAAAAGAUAUUUUUAUUUGGACCAUGGAGUCAGAUAAAGCAUUAACAGGUAAAGAAUAAGAAGGAAUUUGAGAUAAUGUGGAGGGGGGAGAAAAAGCCUAUUGUCAUAUUUUUAACUAUUAGAAAUCAAAAUUUUAUAAUUUUACAAUUUUACUAAGGGAUUUUAAAGGCAGAGGGGCUUUUGUAUAUUUGUAUUUGUUAUCCUGAGGGAAUAUGAUCAAAGACUUUUUUUGGAAAAAUUAAUCACACAUGCACAUAGAUUUUAGGAGAGAUUGAGAGAAAUUGAUGAAAAAAGCAUAUCUGAGGAUUUAUUUUUGAUAUCAAAGAUACAAAUGUUUUGCAACUCAUCCUAAGUAUUUACAAUGUAAUGAAAAAUAAGGCCUAUAGACCAGAGAAUCUGGAAAGAAUUGGGAGGGUUGUUUGCUAGUAUGUGGAAAGGAAGAGCAUAGUAAGCUGUCAUAUCAAGAAGAAUCUGUAUUGUCAGUAAAAACAUCAACCCGAGUGCUGGAGUCUCCAAAUAAUUGUGGGAUUCACUGCCUUUAUUAUAAAGAUGCAAUCGAUUUCGGGAAUUUUCUUUACAUCUCAUGUCACAUUCUUCUGAUUAUCUUCAAUAAUGGCCAAUAUCUUCAUUCUUUUGAUAGUAAUACAUAAUUGAAAAAUGCUUCAAACUCGUUCAGAUUCUCAUGUAACAAUUAAGGUCUGUGGUCUCUGUUGAAACUUUUCAUGUGAUUUUUAAAAAAAGAGACUGUAUUAUUUCGGAAAGAAUACCAAGAGAUGUAUCAGUCCAUACCAAUGUUGAUCAGUAUUUAUGAAUCUCUGAAAUGCACUGUUUUGAAUGCCAACAUUAGUUUAGAUAUAUUAAAUUUACUAGGAUAGGUGAAAAACAGGGCCCUAUAUUUAUUACAUUUUAUUAGGAAUCAAAAUGCAUGCAAGUCUGUUGUGUAAUUUCACUGAGUUACACUAGUAGUUACAAAACUGAGUGAUUUGCCUGUUUUAUCUAACCCAAUCAACAUAAGCCAUUUCAUUGAAUCUAUAACAUAUAACCUUUUCUCCAUAUGUUAGAAAACAUUUAUUAUAUGCCUUCAACAUAAACAUAUUUUUCUUCAGAAAGAACUACCUAGUCCCCAGAUUUGGUAGAGAAGCCUAAUAAGUAAAGUCAUAACAUCCCCUAAUUCUCUUUAAUAGAAAUUAUGACAACUUACUGUAGCUGAUUCUUUAAAUUAUCUGCAUCCCUACAGUGCCUGGUGUGGUGCCUCAUCUUGAUCCCCCUUCAGGUCUCAGGAGCUAAGCCCCCAAUUGCUGGGAACGUUCAGUAUUGAUGACCUGUGCUUGCAUGCUUGCAUUGAUGGUAGCUGCCCCACAUUUUCAGCUGGUCAGUGACGAACUACAAAACUUGUCUCCCUGUCUCUACCUUGAACAUUUUCAAAGGCCCAUUGUAGUUUCACAUCUUUCUGUGCAACUAAUGGGAGCUAUUGCUGCAUCUGCAUCACUGUUCAGCUUCUCUCUGACCAAUUCUGCUUCAAUUGCUCUCUCUCUCAAAAGUCUUAUUCCUGAGAGCCUUUCCCACUAAAAUAUCCUUAAUUCAAGUCUCAGAGUCCAUUUUUUAAAAACACAGACAUAAGACCUUUCAUUCUGUUAGUUCCUAGGAAACAAACACUAAUAUGCAAUUGUCAAUUGCACCACCCACCACCACCUGGCAAUGAGGCCCACAUCACUGGUAGUAUGUUGAAUAGGAAUAGCUCUUGGCAUAUGUGGCAGUGUGAUUGUUAAAGUUCAUGAAUAACAAAGUGAUACACCAAAAUGGGCUACUAGUGAACGUUAAUUCACUAAUGAGCACAACACAUCAGGCUUUUGAGGGUUAUGUGAAAAGUAGUAAUUAUAAGAAAGAUGACUGUUGAUGGUUGUUGUGGGGAAUAGUCCAUACACUGGAGACAGACUAUGAAGUCGAGUGUUAUUAAUCACCAAUUUAGGUGAAAUAUAAGAGCCAGCAGGCCUCCUUUCUUAUCUCAGCUAAAGUGUACUAAAAGCUGUGGAUUAUGUCCUGGGUUAAGUCCUGGAUUAACCCCAGGACUUUAGUAGAAAAGAAGCAGAGAUCCAAAAAUAGUUGACUUUUUAUUAAAAGUCUUCUAUGCCGAUGUCAAGAGAUUGAUUGGGAGGAAUUGUAAACUUCAGUAUGCAUUGGUGUGAUGGUUAAUAUUGAGUGUCAUCAUGAUUGUAUUAAAGGAUACAAAGUAUUGUUCCUGGGUGUGUCUCUGUGAAGGUGUUGCCAAAGGAGAUUAACAUUUAUGUCAGUGGACUGGGAAAGGCAGACCCACCCUCAAUCUGGGUAGGCACAGUCUAAUAAACUGCCAGCCCAGCCAGAAUAUAAGCAGGUAGAAGAAUGUGGAAAGACUAGACUGGCUUAGUCUUCUGGCAUACAUGCUUCUCCCCUGCUAGAUGCUUCCUGCCCUCAAACAUCGGACUCCAAGCUCUUCAGCUUUGGGACUCAGACUGGCUUCCUUGCUCCUUAGCUUGCAGACGGCCUAUUGUGGGACCUUGUGAUCAUGUGAGUCAAUAUUUCUUAACAAACUCUCCUUUAUAUAUACAUCUAUCCUGUUAGUUCUGUCCCUCUAGGGAAUCCUAAUACAAAUGUCUGAAUUGAAGCACUUGAGAAUCUUGAAUCACGGAUUCUCCAGGCAACCAUUUCAGUUGAAGACUUACUCUGGCAGAAGACAACUUAAAAAUUUCUUCUUUGCCAAAAAAUAUAAACACUCAUCAGGGUCUACCCCUAUCUUUCUUCAUAGCUACAAAACCAUUAAACCAUUUAAUAUACACCAUUAAAAGGGCCUAUAUCUCAUAGGAGCUGCAAGAGUCUGACAAGUUUGUAUGAUAAUAGAGACAAGGUUCCUGGAUCAAGAGUGGCAUGUAACAUCAAGCUUGAUUACAGAUUGAUUAUUAUUAUAAGAGCACUGUCUUUUAAUACAGGAUUUAAAACUUUGUAAAGGAUCUAGAGGUGGUAGCAGAACCAAGGGAGACAUCCAUGUUCACACAACUAUUUUGGUUCUUGAAAGCUUGGAAAUAGUAAUAGCCUACGCUAUCUGAAGUGAAAAUGCCACAAUUUCCACAGAAGCCACUAUAGAAAAUAGAACAAAAGGCUCAGAGAAGUAGGCCGCAUAUCUCAGAAGGGUAAAAAACAUACAAGCUAAUUACGUGCUAUGUGAUGGCCCAGAAAUCACUCCAUUUACCAAAGUGAACAUAAAUGUGCUAGUGAGGGGAGUACAGGUAUCUCUGAGAAAUUCAAUGGUCUCUUUCUUUUGUGGGCAACAGAACAUUUUUAAAGUACCAAAAAGGUAUAGACAAACAAAAACUGCUCAAUCUAAACUUUUAUACACUCAGAUAUGCUUUAAACUUAAGACAAGUUUUUAAAAGUCCUAAAAUAUUCAUUCUCAGGAGACUUGCAUUGCAGGAAAUUGGAAAGGCAGUUCUUAAGGUAAAAUGGAAAGAAUAACAAAUGAAAGGAAAAAGCAGCUUUACAUAGAAAGAAUGGAGAGGCCAGAAAUGGUAAAUUGUGAGUAAAUACAUUUUCUAUUUUAAAUCUCAUUAAACAAUAGCUUUCAAAGCAAAAAUAACAAUGCAACAAUGCACUACUGAGUAUAUAAGAUGUGUAGAAGAGGGGAUGGAACCAUUCUAUUUUCUGACAGUAUACGUUACUAUAAUAUAUGGGGAAGUAGUAUAUUAUUUGAAGAUAGAUUAUGAUAAACUAAGCAUAUUUAUUGUAAAUUCUAGACUAAGGGUCAGGAAACUAUGGCCUAAGUAGGUAGGUCUUACUUACAGUAAGUCUGGCCCAGUACCAGAUGUACAAAAUGUUGUUUACAGUUGUCAAAGUAUAUUAAAAAAAUCAAAAGGAAGAUUAAGUAGGAAUAGAGGUGAGAAGAAAAGGAGGAAGAGAUGAGGAGGAGGAGAAAAAAAAAUAUCACCAUAUGCAGUUCCGCAGUCUGGCAAAUCUUUUUCUGAAGAAAAAAAAGAGAUAGAAAAUAUUUUAGGGUUUGUGUGGCUUCCAUUCAUUAGCUUUCUAUAAUCUUUCCUCCUCAAGUAAUGUGUUCAAUGAUGACACUGAAAUAUUUCCUAUUGGAUAAUAGAAGCAAUCACAUUUAACAUAUCAAAUUUUAUUAAAGUAAAUCUUCCAUCUUUUGGAAAAAAAUGAAUUAGUUUUAUUGUUAAAAGUAUUCAUAAAUCAGUCAGGCAUGGUGGCUCACACCUGUAAUCCCAGCACUUUGGGAGGCUGAGGCAGGUGGAUCACGAGGUCAGGAGAUUGAGACCAUCCUGGCUAACACAGUGAAACCCUGUCUCUACUAAAAAUACAAUUAGCUGGGCGUGGUGGCGGGCGCCUGUAGUCCCAGCUACUUGGGAGGCUGAGGUAGGAAAAUGGUGUGAACCUGGGAGGGGGAGCUUGCAGUGAGCCGAGAUCGCCCCACUGCACUCCAGCCUGGGCAACAGAGUGAGACUCUGUCUCAAAAAAAAUAAAUAAAUAAAAAAUAUGUAUUCAUAAAUCAAAUACAAUAAAAAACAAAAGUGUUUAUUGUCUGAAUAUAAUCAACUACUAAAUUUACAAAAUCACUAGAAACAUAAAAGAUUAAAUUUCAAUAAAAAGCAAUUCCUAAUAAUUAUGACUUUUUAUAAAUGUCACUCUACAAAGCACUUUAAAUAUUUCUUUUCUAGUAGCUCAUUUAAUGUUUAUAACCUUUUAUUAGUGGGACAAUUGUUGUACCAAUGAUAAGGAAAAUGAGGAGAAAUAAAUUCUCUUUCAAUAUGUGCUGUUAUGACUGAUGAGCUUUUUUUAGUUUUUAUUUGAAGUAUUUCUAAAUAGCACAGAAUUUACUGAGCUUAUUAGAUUAAUGGAAAACAAAUAUAUGUAAUAAAUAGCACAGAUUAAUAGUUUGCUAAUACUGAUUUGAAUAAAUUAAAAUCAUCAAAAUGUACACAGCAUAUGUUGAAUAAAAUAUUGUGCUGCACAUUAUAGUAAUGUUUCUAUUAAUAGGCUGCUCAUUUAUAGUAGCAUAUGGCAGGUUUGGUGACAGCCAGGGAACUAUUAAUUCAGAUAGGGUGAGAAAUAAAAGGCCUCUCAUGAAGUGAUGAGUUUUCAAUAAGUCAUUAAACAAAGUGUUAUUAAAUUCCUACUAUGUGUCACUGUUAUAGGUAAAAGAGAUAUAGCACUAAAAGCAAGGGAGGUAAGACUCCUGCCUUCAUGGAUCUUGAAAGAAAGAGACAGAGAGAUGGGAAAACAAGUUAAUCUUAAAUAUUAAGUGCUAUGAACCCACAACAGGAUUUUUUGUAAGCAACUGGUAGGGGUGAGGGGAAGUCACUGUUGUUUUUAAGAGUCUAGAGUCUCUUUUAAAGGUUCAGUGCUUCACCUGAGACACCAAUGUGGGGAAUCUAUGAAAACAGUGCUCAGAAAAAGAUGAGCAGGGACAAAGGCUUAGAAAGAAAAAAAAAAGCCAGGUGGAGACACAGGAGACCUAACUCUUCAAAUACACAACACUAAAUUUGAGCAAGUCAUUUGAUAACUGUGCCUCUACUUCCUAAUCCAUAGUGAGUUGGAUUAGAUGUCCAUGUAAAAUGUUUUAGUUAACAAUCUUUUUGUCUUGCUCUGUCUUCGGGUUGGAGUGCAGUGGUGUGAUCAUAGUAGACUAGCAGCCUCACUGCAGCCUCAAACUCUGGGCUCAAAGGAUUCUCCUGCAUCAGCCUCCUCAGUAGCUGGGACUACAGACAUGCGCCACCAGGCCCAGCUAUGUUUUUAAUUUUUUCGUAGGGAUGGGGUCUCAUUUUGUUACCCAGGCUGGUCUAAAAACUUCUGAAAUCAAGCGGUCCUUCUGCCUCAGCCUCCCGAAGUGUCAACAACUUUUUACAAUAUUUUUAAUACUUUUAUAUUAUACCUAAAAUAACUAGUCCUGCAGUUCCGCCCUAUAUUCCCAGGCAAGCACUCAAUAAUAAACCUGCGUAUUCUAUUUGGACAGAUGAAUAAAACAUAGUGAGCUUCGACCUUAGGUGUUAAUUCUCUUACUCCCUAGUUUAUCUGUAAGACUAUAUUAUAUCAACACAUUAGCAAAUUUUUGUUAUGUUGGUUCAUCUAUUUUAUGGUAGAUUUUAUUAAUUUUUAAACAAACUUACUUUGUGUACUUUGAUAUAUUGCUUAUAGAUAAUAUACAUGAUUAUGUGUAUUUUUCCUCACUUAAAUGUUACUCUACCUUACAAUGUUACAUUCACCUUAUUACUCCACUCUGAUUAUGCUGUACAUAUUUUUUUAAAAAUAAGUUAUUUAUAAAAUAACAUUCCUAAAAGCCAACUAAUUGAUAGCAGAAUUCUAUUUUAAUAUUAAAAUUUAUUUCUAAGAGAAGAUACUCUAGUUUGCAUUAAGAUGUCAUUUAAUACUGAAAAUUAGUAAAUAAAAUUUUAACUGUAAUUUAUCUAUAACAGUAAUAUAUAUAGCCUUAAAUCAUGUUUUUACGCGUUGUUAAUUUAUACAUGUUUUUACUAAGCUAACCAUAUUUGCUACUAUUUUUGUGCAGAUCAAGCUGUAGUUCACUUGAAACAAAGGGAUUGUGAUCUUUGUACACAAGACAUAUUUGAACAUAUUUCUUCAACAGAGAUUAACCUCAGACCUACUGUGUGACAUAAGUUAUUGAAAAUGCUGGAUUACGAGGGAGGUGGAUCACGAGGUCAAGAGAUCAAGACCAUCCUGGCCAACAUGAUGAAACCCUGUCUCUACUAAAAUUAGCCAGGCAUGAUGGCGUGCACCUGUAGUCCCUGCUACUUAGGGGGCUGAGGCAGGAGAAUCACUUGAACCUGGGAGGCAGAGGUUGCAGUGAGCCCAUUUCGCACCACUGUACUCCAGCCUGAUGACAGAGCGAGACUCCAUUUCAAAGAAAAAGAAAAAAAAAAGAAAGAAAAUACUGGAUUAAUGUGCGAGGAGUUACUGGCUGAAGUCACACACAAAAAGCAUCUCUUUGUGUACGAUCCAUGAAUUUAAUGAUUUAUCUAUCAUACGUUUUUCUUUUCAAGAAACCGAGUAUAUGCGGAUGUGGUUAUGGAACUACUUCUUCAAAUACAAUGACGCAUGUUUAAAUCUUGCAUUGAUAUUUUACUUUUUUUUAAGUAGGUGUUCUUUCUUUUUCUUUUUCUUUAUUUUAUUAUUUUUUUUUAUUUUACUUUAAGUUCUGGGAUACAUGUACAGAAGCGUGCAGGUGUGUUACAUAGGUACACAUGUGCCAUGGUGGUUUGCUGCAUCUAUCAACCCAUCAUCUAGGUUUUAACACCUGCAUGCAUUAGGUAUUUGUCCUAAUGCCCUCCCUCCCCUUGCCCCCCACCCCCCAACAGGCCCUGGUGUGUGAUGUUCCCCUCCCUGUGUCCAUGUGUUCUUAUUGUUCAACUCCUACUUAUGAGUGAGAACAUGCAGUGUUUGGUUUGCUGUUCCUGUGUUAGUUUGCUGAGGAUGAUGGUUUCCAGCUUCAUCCAUGUCCUGCAAACGACAUGAACUCAUUCUUUUUUAUGGCUACAUAGUAUUCCACAGUGUAUAUGUGCCACAUUUUC
rnacentral:lncRNA from 1 species